UACGGAGGGUGCAAGCGUUAUCCGGAUUCACUGGGUUUAAAGGGUGCGUAGGUGGAUUAGUAAGUCAGUGGUGGAAUCUCCGGGCUUAACCCGGAAACUGCCGUUGAUACUAUCUGUCUUGAAUAUAGUGGAGGUGAGCGGAAUAUGUCAUGUAGCGGUGAAAUGCUUAGAUAUGACAUAGAACACCAAUUGCGUAGGCAGCUUACUACACGAUCAUUGACGCUGAGGCACGAAAGCGUGGGGAGCAAACCGG
rnacentral:rRNA from 1 species